AUCGCUUCUCAGCCUUUUGGCUAAGAUAAAGUGUAGUAUCUGUUCUUAUCAGUUUAAUAUCUGAUAUGUCCUUUAUCCAAGGACAAUAUAUUAAAUGGAUUUCUGGAACAGGGAGAUGUAAUAGGAGCUUGCUCCUUCCACUCCAUCUAUCGACCUGGUAUUGCAGUACUUCUGGGAAUGGUGCACCCCAG
ensembl:snRNA U2 U2 spliceosomal RNA